GAAAGGCUGUAGCUCAGUGGUAGGGCACUUGCUUUGCAUGUAGAGGGUCCCCGGUUCAAUCCCCAGUGGCAUCUUCA